rnacentral:rRNA from 1 species
UACGUAGGGUGCGAGCGUUGUCCGGAAUUACUGGGCGUAAAGAGCUCGUAGGUGGUUUGUCGCGUUGUUCGUGAAAACUCACAGCUUAACUGUGGGCGUGCGGGCGAUACGGGCGGACUGGAGUUCGGCAGGGGAGACUGGAAUUCCUGGUGUAGCGGUGAAAUGCGCAGAUAUCAGGAGGAACACCGGUGGCGAAGGCGGGUCUCUGGGCCGAUACUGACGCUGAGGAGCGAAAGCGUGGGGAGCGAACAGG